rnacentral:rRNA from 1 species
CAACGUUAAUCGGAGCAGGGUGAGUCGACCCCUAAGGCGAGGCUGAAAAGCGUAGUCGAUGGGAAACGGGUUAAUAUUCCCGUACUUGUGGUAACUGCGAAGGGGGGACGGAGAAAGUUAGGCUAUCCGGGCGACGGUUGUCCCGGUUUAAGCGUGAAGGUGGAGAGACUAGGCAAAUCCGGUCUUUCAUUAACACUGAGGCGUGAUGACGAAGCACUACGGUGCUGAAGUAGCUGAUACUACGCUUCCAGGAAAAGCCUCUAAGCAUCAGGUUACCAGAAAUCGUACCCCAAACCGACACAGGUGGUCAGGUAGAGAAUACUCAGGCGCUUGAGAGAACUCGGGUGAAGGAACUAGGCAAAAUGGUGCCGUAACUUCGGGAGAAGGCACGCUGAUGGUAGGUGAAGUCCCUUGCGGAUGGAGCUGAA